rnacentral:rRNA from 1 species
UAACGCGUGGGUAACCUGCCAUAUACAGGGGGAUAACACUUAGAAAUAGGUGCUAAUACCGCAUAAGCGCACGGAGCUGCAUGGCUCAGUGUGAAAAACUCCGGUGGUAUAUGAUGGACCCGCGUCUGAUUAGCUUGUUGGCGGGGUAACGGCCCACCAAGGCGACGAUCAGUAGCCGGCCUGAGAGGGUGGACGGCCACAUUGGGACUGAGACACGGCCCAAACUCCUACGGGAGGCAGCAGUGGGGAAUAUUGGACAAUGGGGGGAACCCUGAUCCAGCGACGCCGCGUGAGUGAAGAAGUAUUUCGGUAUGUAAAGCUCUAUCAGCAGGGAAGAAAGAAAUGACGGUACCUGACCAAGAAGCCCCGGCUAACUACGUGCCAGCAGCCGCGGUAAUACGUAGGGGGCAAGCGUUAUCCGGAUUUACUGGGUGUAAAGGGAGCGUAGACGGUGAAGCAAGUCUGAAGUGAAAGGCGGGGGCUCAACCCCCGGACUGCUUUGGAAACUGUUUGACUGGAGUGCAGGAGAGGUAAGUGGAAUUCCUAGUGUAGCGGUGAAAUGCGUAGAUAUUAGGAGGAACACCAGUGGCGAAGGCGGCUUACUGGACUGUAACUGACGUUGAGGCUCGAAAGCGUGGGGAGCAAACAGGAUUAGAUACCCUGGUAGU